rnacentral:rRNA from 3 species
UACGGAGGGUGCAAGCGUUGUCCGGAUUUAUUGGGUUUAAAGGGUGCGUAGGCGGCUGAAUAAGUCAGCGGUGAAAGACUUCGGCUUAACCGGAGCAGUGCCGUUGAUACUGUUUAGCUUGAGUGUUGGAGGGGUACAUGGAAUUGAUGGUGUAGCGGUGAAAUGCAUAGAUACCAUCAGGAACACCGAUAGCGAAGGCAUUGUACUGGCCAACAACUGACGCUGAGGCACGAAAGUGUGGGGAUCGAACAGG